UAGGGGACCUUUCCCUCGCGAAUGGAUUCUAGGAUUAGAGUUUGAUCCUGGCUCAGGACGAACGCUGGCGGCGUGCCUAAUACAUGCAAGUCGAGCGAACCGAUGGAGUGCUUGCAUUCCUGAGGUUAGCGGCGGACGGGUGAGUAACACGUAGGCAACCUGCCUGUACGACCGGGAUAACUCCGGGAAACCGGAGCUAAUACCGGAUAGGAUGCCGAACCGCAUGGUUCGGCAUGGAAAGGCCUUUGAGCCGCGUACAGAUGGGCCUGCGGCGCAUUAGCUAGUUGGUGGGGUAACGGCCUACCAAGGCGACGAUGCGUAGCCGACCUGAGAGGGUGAACGGCCACACUGGGACUGAGACACGGCCCAGACUCCUACGGGAGGCAGCAGUAGGGAAUCUUCCGCAAUGGACGAAAGUCUGACGGAGCAACGCCGCGUGAGUGAGGAAGGUCUUCGGAUCGUAAAACUCUGUUGUCAGAGAAGAACCGCCGGGAUGACCUCCCGGUCUGACGGUACCUGACGAGAAAGCCCCGGCUAACUACGUGCCAGCAGCCGCGGUAAUACGUAGGGGGCAAGCGUUGUCCGGAAUUAUUGGGCGUAAAGCGCGCGCAGGCGGCUUCUUAAGUCAGGUGUGAAAGCCCACGGCUCAACCGUGGAGGGCCAUCUGAAACUGGGGAGCUUUGAGUGCAGGAGAGGAGAGCGGAAUUCCACGUGUAGCGGUGAAAUGCGUAGAGAUGUGGAGGAACACCAGUGGCGAAUGCGGCUCUCUGGGCCUGUAACUUGACGCUGAGGCGCGAAAGCGUGCGAGCAAACAGGAUUAGAUACCCUGUUAGUCCACGCCGUAACGAUGAGUGCUAGGUGUUGGGGAGUCCACCUCCUCAGUGCCGCAGCUACCGCAUAAGCACCUCCGCCUGGGGGAGUUACGGGCCGCAAAGCUGAAACUCAAGAUUGACGGGUACC
rnacentral:rRNA from 1 species